UAUAAUUCAGUUACUUACUAUAUGGCUACAGACUAUUUCUAUCGUUUACUGUCUGUUCAAAUAUGUUCUUCAAUUACUAACUCAUCAUCCUCAACAUAUAUCACAGCCAAAACAAGGGGAGAGAAAAAUAGUUACAAAUGAAAAAUCAGAUGCUUGAAAGAUCAGUUGGAUGAAACAAAUGGCCAGGAAGCUGUUCUGUAUUGAUUUAGGCAGAGGCAUAAAAAGAUAUAAAGAGAAAUAACAGUUUUUUCCAAAUUGAUUUCCAAGGAAGAGGAAAGUAUUGUGUCAAAAGCUCCGCCUCAUCUUCGUUAUGGUGAUCUGUUGCAUUUCAAGACACAUACAUCCUUUUCUAAGAGGAACAGGUGUUAUAAAAUAGAACAUGUAUGAGAUUAAUCAAGGAACAUUAUGUUUGCUGAAAGUGAUUGAGACCAAAGGUAAAGAACGGAGGCACAUCUUGAAGUGGUACUUAUUGAGCUGGAUUAGGUGUUGCAUAGCCCCUAUAUAUAUUACAUGUUUUAAGUUAAAGAUUAUAUUUUUUUUAUUUAAGUCGAAAGUAAUAUGUCAUAUCCAAUG
rnacentral:misc_RNA from 1 species